UUUCCAUUUUUAUCUUAUUUUCCGAUCAGACUUAUUUAUUCUCCAGUGGGAUGGUUUUGAAGAAGGCGAGGAAAUGAGGGAGGGGCGGGCAAAGAGAUCGCUGCCGUUGUGUGCUUGGUCGCGUCCGGAAGCUUCGCCUCUGUCUCUCUCUAUCUCUCCUCCCUUUCGCUUCGUUUCUAGUUUCGAUCACACCAUUCUUGGGACGAUGCUCGAGAUCUGGUAGUUUCUUGCCUUCAGAUCCAGUAAGGGUUUCGUUGUCUUAACUUGCUUGCCUGAUCUCACCGUGUGUGAGUGGAUCCUUGGGGAACCAGGAUGCGCGUUUAAUCGAGUUCUCUUCCUUUGUUUUCUUACCGAUUAUGAAAGACUCUUUGUUUGCCUUGGAUCUCGAAUUCUUCUUCUUCUUCUUAUUCCUAUUUUUCAGAUUCUUUUGCUUUAAUUUUUGGUAGUAUAGCUUAUUAGAAGAUUCUACCUCGUUGGAGCGGACGGAUCUCGGAGAAGUAUCCACAUCACACUGCGGUUUAUGAUGGGGUUUCUUGUUGAUGCGCUUGCAUGAGCGUUGUUGGUUGACAACGAGAGAGAGCACGCCGGUCCGAGGCCCAUGCCGGCUGCCAUGGUCCAGUACUAGCGUGCUCCUUCUCGUUGUCACCCCGUUUCGCCUCACCAACAUCAAUCGCUUCUUCUUGCCCCAUAUUCCUACCGUCGGCCUUGUCGAGAUGAAGUGCUGCAUCUGAUAGUUUGGCUAAAUGAGGCUUGAGCAACAGUUCAUGCUGAACCAAUGUACUUCAAACAUAAGCCGGCAGGACAUCUUUAUGUGCAAAUUUGAAUUUGGUAGUGUAGAACCCCAUUUCAAGGAAAUAGGAAUUGUAACCAUUCAAAUUGAGCCGAAGAUGUUCCUAGGAAUUAGCAUUUGAACAGUGAAGUGUUUCCUCCAAUUAUAGUUCUUGUUUAUAUCAGUGGAGGACUCUUUCAGCUUUCAACAAUGCAAUUUUGUGCCACUAAUUUAUAUUUAUUUCUUUACAAAUGUAUCUAAUGAUGCCACAGUUGGUUCAACUAUUCUUGAAGUGGACUGGUAGUAUUCUGAUUAAUUUUUGUCCUGCUAACAAAAAAAAUUGCUUGCAAACUGAUACUAUAAUGCUAUGACUUAUGGUGAUAAUUGAAUUCAUCAUAUCUGUGCCUUUCCGUGUGACAGUGAAAUUAGAUGCAAACAUAGAUAUAUCUACAGCCAAUACUAGUGAAUUGUCUCAACAACAACAAGGUCAUAAAGUCUCAACCAUUUUGGGAGUACUAGUGAAUUGUCUAUCUUGUUGAAGUUAUCUUGGUAACAAAGAUACAAUCAACAUGAGCAAUAGUGAUAUUUAUACAGCGGUUCAGUGCUAGUCAGCUAGAUAUAUCAAGAAGGGAUGAGAAGGACAUGUUAUACCACUUGUUUUUUUUACAUCUUAAGCUUCACAUUGAAAAGAACCAUUCUAUAACUUUGUUCCUUAACAUGCAAUGGUUUCAUCAACUGAGGUAAUUCCGUCCAGCAAUAUAAUUUAAAUCUGUCCAAUUUUUACUUAUUGCUUUCUCUUUUCUUCCUAUAUAUUCUUACCCAUCAUGCAUUGGCAACAAUCAUUUGAAAUUAUUUUUUUCCUUCUGCAUUUUCUAUUUUUUGAUGAAUCCUUUUGUCAAUUGUUCACACAGUAGGUGGGUGAGACAUGUGAAAUUUACCAUUAUAUUUUUUUAUUUUCAAUCAUGUACGAUGCAUGUUCUAAAUUACAUGCUCUCUUUAACCUGCUUGGCCCAAAAUUACAAGUAAUGAGGUGAAUGAAGGUCUGGGAAUACGGUAUAUCAUUUCUUAUAAUCUGAAAAGAUUAAUGAUACAAUAUAGUAGUUUUGCUUCAUAAGAAUGGUCUCGAUAAUCAUAAUAUUAUGAAGAUUUUUUCUGGUAAUCAUUUCAUA